rnacentral:rRNA from 1 species
UCCGUAUGGUGAACCUGCGGAGGGAUCAUUA